rnacentral:rRNA from 3 species
GGGUUGUGAGGUUAAGCGACUAAGCGUACACGGUGGAUGCCCUGGCAGUCAGAGGCGAUGAAGGACGUGCUAAUCUGCGAUAAGCGCCGGUAAGGUGAUAUGAACCGUUAUAACCGGCGAUUUCCGAAUGGGGAAACCCAGUGUGACUCGUCACACUAUCAUUAACUGAAUCCAUAGGUUAAUGAGGCGAACCGGGGGAACUGAAACAUCUAAGUACCCCGAGGAAAAGAAAUCAACCGAGAUUCC